GAGAAGACAAAGGUUGGAAUUGCUGUGUGUUCCCCACUGGCUGGCAAUGGCUGGCUGCAAUCAUCGUAUUACAACUAACACAUGGGGUCAGGAGAUACAACUUGGAGAUAUACUCCAAUUGGCCAGUAAUUUUCCCAUUUGUCGGCCAGAAUGAAGCACAAUCAAUCAGACAUGGUGUCUCUAAGCUGCCCAGGACGGACUUGAAUUCACUCUCUGGACGAUAUAACCCUUUAAUUUGCUACCCUCCUGCUUCAGUCUCUCAAAUAGCUGGAUUUACAGGACUGUG